rnacentral:rRNA from 1 species
UCAGCCGGCCAUAGCGCGUGGGUCCUACCUGGACUCGUUCCGAACCCAGCAGUAAAACAACGCGUCGUCGCCAUGCUACUGAGUUCCGAGAGGACUCGGGAAGUGACGAUGCCGGCGCCC